rnacentral:rRNA from 1 species
AUUGAACGCUGGCGGCAGGCCUAACACAUGCAAGUCGAGCGGAUGAAGGGAGCUUGCUCCUGGAUUCAGCGGCGGACGGGUGAGUAAUGCCUAGGAAUCUGCCUGGUAGUGGGGGAUAACGUCCGGAAACGGGCGCUAAUACCGCAUACGUCCUGAGGGAGAAAGUGGGGGAUCUUCGGACCUCACGCUAUCAGAUGAGCCUAGGUCGGAUUAGCUAGUUGGUGGGGUAAAGGCCUACCAAGGCGUCGAUCCGUAACUGGUCUGAGAGGAUGAUCAGUCACAUUGGAACUGAGAAGCGGCCCGGACCCCUACGGGGGGCAGCAGGGGGGAUAUUGGGACAAGGGGCAAAGGCCUAACCCAACCAUGCGGGGUGGGUGAAAAAGGUCUUGGUUUUAUAAACACUUUUAAGUGGGGAGGAAGGAUAGUAAUUUAAAACCUUGCUGUUUUGACGUUACCAAAAAAAUAAGCCCGGACAAACUUGGUC